rnacentral:rRNA from 1 species
GACAGAGGUCUCGAGCGUUAGGCGGAAUCACUGGGCUUAAAGCGUGUGUAGGCGGACUUGUAAGUACCUUGUGAAAUCCCACGGCUCAACCGUGGAACUGCUUGGUAUACUGGCUUGUCUUGGGCCAUCUAGGGGUUACCGGAACAAACGGUGGAGCGGUGAAAUGCGUAGAUAUCGUCAGGAAUGCCGGUGGUGAAGACGGGUGACUGGGCUGGUUCUGACACUGAGGCACGAAAGCGUGGGGAGCGAACGGG